UGUAUCUCAUCAUUAUUAUUAAUUAAUAACAUUACAUAUAUAAAUAUUAUUAAAGCACACUUUUUCUAUAAACUCUCUUAACCAGAAUGCUUCUUUUUUCAUCACAGACAAUGGUUUUUGGUUUUUUUUUUUUUUUGAAAAAAAGGCUAUGGUUUUGGGUAUUUACGUAAUGUAAUCCAUGUCCAAAACAUCAGCUUAUCGAUUAAAAACAACAGUUUUUUUUUGCUAAACAGUAAACCCCACAAAAAAAAUAGUAGAGUUUUACAAAACUUCAAACUCACCAAAAGAAUACUCUACAAGCACACGUCGUAGAGCUGCAUGACCCUAUAACCAUCUACAACAAUGGCGUGUUGUUGAUUCAUAGAGUAUCAAACAUAAACCUAUUUUUAAAAUUAUUUCAAAACAUUAUGCACAUGUUAAUGGUGUGUUGUUAAUUCAAAAAAUCAAAGUUAAUAAUUGUUUAUUUAAAAUCAUAUUAACCAUUAUAUAACCCAACUUAUAUAUUCGAUGAAAGAGGUUUUUGCAAAUAUGACUCAAAACUUGAAGUCAAACACAAAACUAACUCAUGUUUUUUUGGAACUUUGGCUUGCCUAUUUCAUCCUUAAAGUUCAGAUUAUUCACGAAAAUGCCAUCACUUUUUUUUUUUUUUUUUUUUUCAAAAAUGCAUAUUUUACUCUAUCACCCUCA
rnacentral:lncRNA from 1 species